rnacentral:lncRNA from 1 species
GGGGGGCACACAGCAUGCAGGGGAGGGACAUCCAAUAUCACAGCAGCGUGGGCAGAGGCAAUGGAGACGGCAGAGCAUUGUGGUUGAUGCCCUGCCUUGGUAGUGUUUCACAGUUCUUUUCUGAUUGUUCUUUGUUUUUCCUCAGAAAAAACACUGAGACGUCGGUAGCUAAGAAGGACAAUGGGAACGCCCCUGGGAACCUGAAGAGAAGCAAGAGGAGCCUAUAAAGGAGAUAGCUCGAAAGGAGGCUAUGAAGACAAAGGAGAAUGUCUGAGAUUUCCAUUUGAACUACCACAGUAGCCUCAGCUUUUAAAAGUAUCUCUCACAUCUCUCCAUAACUCUGUUUUCCAUGACUGGUCGGGCCGUACCCACAUUUCUGUCUUGGCAUCACUCGUGUGGGUAUUGCUCUAUAGCGCAGCGCUGAGCGCCGGGGAUGCUGUGUCGGACUCUCAGAACUUAAAUCUUGGUUUCCCGACUUGGUGUCUUCUGGCCCGAGAAGAUUGUUUAAGUUCUCGGCCUCUCUUUGCUCAUCUGAAAAUGAGUUUUUAAUAAGUGUUUCGAGGGAUAGAGUCCAGAUUCAAACAGUUCUCGGUGUGUUGCAAGUGGCCGGUGGACUUCUCGGAAAAUCACCUCUUCUUGAAAAGCUGGGAACUGAGCACACUGUCUUUGAAGGCACUGUCAAGUGUCAGCACUUGCUAGAUUGGAUUGUGCUGUCCUAAGAUCUUCCCAGGGUGCAUUUAGGAAGCUGGCAGGGAACCUGGAAGCACGAGGAGAUUCACGGCCUUGGAAGUCAGAUGACCGAAGUUCUCAACAGGGUCUGGGGAGAAAUCCAUCGUUCCAGGUCCUUCUGUGUCACAUUCUGGUGACUUGCUUUUUCAAUGCCGUGUAGUCAAACAGAGACACAGCAAAAAAAUUAGUUAGGCAACUCAUUUCUAUUAUUAUUUUAGAGAGGCUUUAUGAAUGGACUAGGCCUUUACUAAGUUGAAUUGCUUUGAAAAUAGUACAGUCAGGACUAGGGUUGUAGCUCAGUGGUAGACAGGUUUAAGAAAAGGAGUUCAGCUGGGCCCUGGUGGCUUAUGCCUUUGAUCCCUGCUUGGGUGGCUGAGGCAGGCUGGUCUCUUGAAUUUGAGGCUAGCCUAGGCUACAAAGCAAGUUCCAGGGCAGCCUGGGUUACAUAGAGUAACCCUGUCUCAAACAAAACAACCAAAAUCAAGCCAAACCAACCAAAUAAUAAUAAUAAUAAUAAAAACCCCAACAACCUGAGUUUGUGGUCAUCAUCAACACCAACACCAACACGGUGCAUUGUUUUUCAGUGGUACAAGCUGAUACUGACUGUAGAAGACUGCAGAAGUUAUUUAGGUUUGGCAGACCGUCCCUUUGGAAGAGCAUUUCCUUUUGUGGAGACAGCAGAACUGACUGUGUUAUUAAAACCCACUGUGAUGAUAAAACACAAUGAAUCAGAGAAAUUAAUAGCCGAGUUAGGCUUGACCAUGGACACAUAGGACACAUGAACUCAUUCUAAGGGAAGCUGUAAUAAUUAUGUAUAAAUAUCUGAAUAAUAACCACACUCCCCAAAUUAUGUGGAAAUUAUACCCCUUUCAAGAAACAGUUCACAUAGCCAUUAUCAACUGAGCCAGCAUGUAGUGGUGGGGACAUAAUAUCUCCACAAAACAUUUCCAGAAAGAGAGAGAGAGAGAGAGAGAGAGAGAGAGAGAGAGAGAGAGAGGCAACUUUCCUUUAUUCACAUUCAGUUGUGAAAUUCAUUAUAUCACAGAAAUAAAAUACCUCAGAGGCACUGGCUCCUGCUCGCUCAGUAAACUAAUCUAUAUUUAGAUGCAAUUUAGUGGCUUCCAGAUAGAUGUAUUUCCUUCAGAAAAGGACUUCUCACAGUCCAUCCUAAGUGACAGGGCAGUGGCUGUUUCUAAGGAAAAUUCAAGGAAUUUGUGAUGUCAUCUCGGGUGUGCCAAUCCCUCAAUUAAGAGAGGACCAGAGGACUUGGUGAUCCCCGCACAAACGAAGGGCGUGCAUCCUCUGCGUCUCCUCGCGCUGGGUCGCAGUUCGCAGUUCGCUGCGACCACAGUGGGUGUCUAGAAAGUAAAAGGGAGUGUUCUGUUUUAUGUAACUUGACUUUGGAAGCUCUGAUGACAAGUAACUCCUCUCUAAAGCUCCACUUAGGAACCAGCGCUGAAAACCAGCUGUUAGCCGUCCGCCCCCGCCCCUCCCCCGCGCCGGGCACUUCUGCCUGUGGGUUCCCCCUUUGUUUUUAAAUGAUUUUAUUUUUGGUAAGAGUUAGGCUUCCCGAGCUCUAAAAUACAUGGAAACCUCCUGCUGUCUAUUCGAACGUUGGACGCUCUAACAUUUAAAAAAGAAAAUCGUGAUUAAAUUGGUGCAUCGUACGUGAUAAGGCCGAGGAAUGUUUUCUUAUUAAAGUUGGCACCAGAAUCCUUCUCAGAAUGGGAAAUGUAUUUACUUUGAAAAAUACCCCGAGAGUUUGGAGAGCAGAAGAGAGCUCCUGAGGGUUUGGGGUGUGGGCGGAAUGUUUCUGAGACAAAGGCAGCGAUUUGGCAGGAACUUCAAGCGCGUGGGGCUGGGGAGGAGGAGAGGGCUGAGCCAAUGGGAGGACCAGCCUGCCCGCAGCCCCUCAGUCCCACUGUGGUCCUCCACCCUCCUGUGACCCAACUCCCAAAGUAUUCGGUGCAAGUCAGUUGUUUUGCUGUUGUUAGAGAGCCUAGGGCAGGCCUGUGGAUCAGCCGAGUGGAUCUGAGGUGAGACGGGUGGACCAGAGUAGAGGCUGGAGACUGCCCCAGGAUGAGGGACAGAUCAGAGAGGGUGGGGUCCUAGAUCCGAAUUUCAGGGCUUUCUGAAACAGAUGGGGCUGGAGAGGUUCUUGGUUAAAGCAUCCACUUUCUGGACAGAGUCACUCAGGGCUGUGUGUGGGUGGGAAGCUUCCUGGUAUAGUCACAUGUUGCCUGACUGGAGGGACGUGGAAAGGACUCCACAAACACCAGACGUCAUAGCUGUUUUUACAAUCUUUGAAGUUGGUUAGACUCCAGUAUGUUAAUGUCAGUCAGAAGGCGGUUGGUAGGAAAGGAGUCUUUAGCGGGGUAAGGAAAGGACUUUAAGAUUCUAAAUCUACGUCUUGUAAACACCCAAGGAUAUCCAAUUUUCAAAACGAGUUGAAAAUCUUUGAGAAUGAGGUAUAACUGCCAAGUCCAAACGACACCUAAUAUUUAUUUCCCAA